rnacentral:lncRNA from 1 species
CCGUGUCCCUCACCCCCCACCCUUUGUGCCCCCCAGGGAAGGCAGCGUGGUGGUGAACUACAAAGUCCUGCUGCAGCCUCCAGCCGGGGGCCAAGCCAACGCCAGCCUCGGCCAGAGGACUCGGGAGCUGCUGGAGGCUUCGAACGCGGCCAUCCAGCCCCAAAACUGCAGUGAAGGAGCGGAAGGGCUCUGCUUCGGUGCGCUCGCCACCCGGAGGGCCUUCGCCGCCGCGCCGAAGCUCAACGCCACCGAGCUCUGCCGGAAGUACACGCCAGCCAACUUCAGCCACUUCUACUACCCCUACUGGAUGAAUAACAGCCUCCUCUGCAUCACCAACUGCACCCUCAACGUCCCCGGCACCAUCAACUGUGGCCCCGGGCUGUGCCGGGUGACGUUGGAUGGGCCCCGCUGCUUCUGCCCCGAUGUGCCCUGGUACCUCUCCUCCGGCGACCGCUGCCAGACCCACAUCAGCAAACUGGGGCUGGGGCUGGGCGUGGGGCUGGGGCUGGGGCUGACCCUCCUCAUCCUGCUCGUCCUCUGCAUCGUCCUCUCCAUCUGCUUGGCCCAGGGGAAGAGAAAAACGCCCAGCACCAGUGAGGACCAUAGGUGGCCAGACGGCAAGCGCAACGCUCGUGCCACCGGCAUCUACCACGUCAAUGGCAGAGGCUCGACGCUACGUCAAGGUCCCUACGCUCACAGCUCCUACAAGACCAACGCAGAGGUUGCAGACCCUCCUGUGCUGGUGGGUGCACAAGAUGGUGGCUGUGGUAGAGCCAUGGGGUGGGAUGAGUUGGGGUGGGAUGAGUUGGGGUGGG